UGCAAGUUUCAAGGCAAGGUGAAAUCCCUUACUGGCGGUGGCGCCCACAGGCGAAGCCCGCAACCCGCCCAGGCGGUGGAUCCGGUCCGAGUCCGGAGCCAACGGUGACAGUCCGGAUGAAAGAAACGGAGC
rnacentral:ncRNA from 1 species